CGUGAGGAACCUGCCUUGGAGAGGGGAAUAACACUCCGAAAGGAGUGCUAAUACCGCAUGAUGCAGUUGGGUCGCAUGGCUCUGACUGCCAAAGAUUUAUCGCUCUGAGAUGGCCUCGCGUCUGAUUAGCUAGUAGGCGGGGUAACGGCCCACCUAGGCGACGAUCAGUAGCCGGACUGAGAGGUUGACCGGCCACAUUGGGACUGAGACACGGCCCAGACUCCUACGGGAGGCAGCAUG
rnacentral:rRNA from 1 species